GAUGAACGCUGGCGGCGUGCCUAAUACAUGCAGGUCGAGCGAACAGACGAGGAGCUUGCUCCUCUGACGUUAGCGGCGGACGGGUGAGUAACACGUGGAUAACCUACCUAUAAGACUGGGAUAACUUCGGGAAACCGGAGCUAAUACCGGAUAAUAUUUUGAACCGCAUGGUUCAAUAGUGAAAGACGGUUUUGCUGUCACUUAUGGAUGGAUCCGCGCCGCAUUAGCUAGUUGGUAAGGUAACGGCUUACCAAGGCAACGAUGCGUAGCCGACCUGAGAGGGUGAUCGGCCACACUGGAACUGAGACACGGUCCAGACUCCUACGGGAGGCAGCAGUAGGGAAUCUUCCGCAAUGGGCGAAAGCUUGACGGAGCAACGCCGCGUGAGUGAUGAAGGUCUUCGGAUCGUAAAACUCUGUUAUUAGGGAAGAACAAAUGUGUAAGUAACUGUGCACGUCUUGACGGUACCUAAUCAGAAAGCCACGGCUAACUACGUG
rnacentral:rRNA from 1 species